rnacentral:lncRNA from 1 species
GCAGAGCCGCGGCCGGCUGGAGGGUGGGCGGUGCCGGUGAGGCCGGCAGGACCUGAGCGGGUUUGGGAGUCCGCUAGGCGCUGCCCCCACUAGAGUCGGACUCGCAGUGCACCCCCCGGGAGGGAGGCAGGUAGCCCUACAGCCGGAGGACAGCAGAGAUGCCCGACAGCAGGCCGAGCUGGUCGGGGGCUGCGAGAUAGCGCCGGCUGGAAGGCCCGCAGGAGUCAGAGGUGAUGAGCCGGGCAGGUGGGUGGAAAGCCGGCGGCGGUCAGAGAAUGGAUGCCAAGCGAGACUGCCAAUGACUCAGGACGUCCCAGUGGAGUCACAGCGUGAGCCCAGCACCGAGGUUUUCAGAGUCAGAUGACUGCAGAGAAGAUGCUGAUGGCACUACUGGCCAAAACGGGCUUCACUGGAGCUGGGAUGGAGUCUUGCUCUGUCGCCCAGGCUGGAGUGCAGUGGCACAAUCUCGGCUCACUGCAACCUCCGCCUCCCAGGUUCAAGAGAUUCUCCUGUCUCAGCCUCCUGAGUAGCUUGGAUUACAGGCAUGUGCCACCACUCCCAGCUAAUUUUGUAUUUUUAGUAGAGACGGGGUUUCGCCAUGUUGGCCAGGCUGGUCUCAAACUCCUGACCUGAAGCAAUCCGCCUGCCUCAGCCUCCCAAAGCUCUGGGAUUACAGGCGUGAGCCACCAUGCCUGGCUGUUGUACUUUCAGAGCCCAAGGUAAGCAGCAGGAAAAGCCCAGGGGGCUCCAAACCAUAGUCCAGAGGUUGUGGGACAUGGCCCCCACAUCCCUAGGGUGGGUACCCAGAGCCAGCUGAGUUCUUCCUCAGCCCUUUGCUCAGGGCCCCCGAUGUGCUGGAAUAAGGGUAACAGAUUCCUCAGUCUAAUGGCCUGGCUCAUCUUGCCAGGCCCUGCCUCCUGCUCAGCUGCCUUGAGUCCUUACUGGGACAUGCUGCUUUUUCCACCCAGGGCCUCCCCUACAGAAACCCCCUAAUCCACUGUUCUCUUCAGGGUUUGAAUCAGGCUACACAGAGAUAGGCCGUUCAUGUGUGGGCGAGGGUCCCUAAUCAUCCCCAGGAGCCAGCACCAGACCAGGCUCUGCCAGCCUUCACAUGGCUCUGAAGUGCUGUUAGGUGAUAACGUACAGUGAGGGGUGUGUGGGCAGAGGAGGGUUUUAUUCUGGACAUGGGUGGCUGGGUGGUCAGUCCCCCAGCAAGAUAGAGGCCUCACGCACAUGCUGCCGGACCACUCGAUCUAAGAGGGUGUGCACAUCUCGGGCAGCCUGGGCAGCAGCCUCCAACACCCGCUCCAGGUGGUCCUCGUGCAGCCGGGCAUCCAUCUCAAGCAGCGCAAUCUGUCCUGAGGCUGGCAGCAGGGCCAGGGCCAGCUGGGGGCCACCAGCUGCUUCCUCCACAUGGCUGAGGUCCGCCAGGGCUGUGCCGUCCACGAAGCCAGCUGAGCACGCACACACAAAGUCUCUCAUGGGUAUCCCGGCAUCCAGCACUGCCAGCGUGGCUGCAUUCACACAAGCUGCAUAGGUCCCACCAUCUGCCUGUAGCACCUGCAGGGAACCCAGGGUGUCAGUCUAUCAGACUCCCUCCCCAACCCCAUCACACCCUUCCCUCCCUGGAUUGACGGCUGCAGCUGGCUCACCUGCACAUAGAUAUCAAUCUGGGAGCGUGGGUGCAGCUGUGUGAGGAUGGCUGCUUCGAAAGUCUGGCGGAGCUGCAGGCCCAUCUCACAGGACUUACGGUCCCCAUGUGGCCGUCGCUUGCGCUCACCUGUGCUGAAGGUCGCUGAACUAUAUUGACAGUUCACUAGGGCCCUGUCCGGCAGGGCUCGAGCCCGGGAGCCCCGGAUCUGGAAGAGGACAGACACAUGAGCCAGGCCCACUCCUUCCAGCUCACACUCCACUGUCCUCUGUGGGUCUGCCUCUCCCUCCACUUUCAAUGCCUCAGCAAGGGGCAACUGCGUUACCUCCAAAACAAAGCCCCCUGUUUUGCGCUCUCUGUCUUGCAUGUGUCGCCCUCUGGCACCUUUUAAUUGGCUUCCUUGUGUCCAUCCUUGCCCCAUUCCCUGCCAACCCAAGUUUACAAACAUCAACGCUGCUUCUGUCUCACCUACACACUCAAAUCCUAACUACCUUACAAAGGUUUCACAUUACAUAUGAAAUAAGAUCCCAAAUCAUUUCCCUACUCUACAAAACCCUAAGUCCUCACCUCCCCGGGAACCCUCAACCUGAUUUGGAGUUAUCCCCUCUUUCCCCACCAGCAGUCUUUCUGCUCUGCAUAAGUGCCUUGCUUGUUUUCACCACCGUGGUCUUCGCCCUUCUGGUUCCCUCCGCCUGGAAAGCAGAGCUCCCACACUCAUGCGCUAAGCAAACACUCUUUCAAUACCUUCGCUGGCCAGGCAGUUACAGCGCUGGAAGCACAGUAAUGAAACCAGAUAGUUUUAUGUAAAGUUCCUUUCUUUAGGAAGCUUAUGUUCCAGCGAGGAAACAAAGGGGAAAAUGCUUAAGCAAAAUAGGCAUUUGAGAUUGUAGGUGCACAAAACAAAGGGUUUAUUGUAGGGCGAGAAGUACCGCGUGGAUAAUAAGGUCGUCUGGGAAGGAGUGACGUCGGAGUAGAGCUGAAAGGAGAGGGAGCGAGUGGGGGAGUGCCUAGCACGUUGAAGAGCCGCAAAGAGGAAGGAGGGCGCAGGGACAGAGGCCGAUGAGAAAGGCAGGACCACCGCGCAGCACACUAAGGACUUGCGUUUACUCCGAGUGAGAUGCGGUGCUGAGCAUCGGCUGUGUAGACUGAGGCGCGCCGGCCGUUGCCCCUCAAGUCCCCGAGCCAGCGCUCAGCCCGGCUGCCCCGCAGCUCCCACGGCCACACGAUUCCCCAUCCCGCGCGCCCACUCGCCUCGUGCGGGCCGUAGACCACAGCCAGUGCCUUGGUGUUGCCCUGCUCAAUGUAGGCCGAGCCGUCAGCCUGCGCGAACACGCCCAUCCGCGCCUGGAUCUUGCGCAGCUCCCCGGCGCGCCGCCCGUCCACCCGGUAGCCCUGGUCCGACAAGAGCUCCAGCCCCGCCAUGCUGCCCGGCCGCCAGGUCCGCUCUCUGCCUACUUCUCUGAGCCGCGGGAGAACUACAGCUCCCGGCGGCUCCGACCGCCCGGAAUCUACGGUUUCCGGAGGUCCGCCAUCACUUCCGGUUCCGGGGAACUACAGCUCUCCGCGGCCCUGACCUCCGUGGAUCUGCGGUUUCCGGCGUUCCGCUGUCACUUCCUGUCCUGGUGAACUGGAGUUCACCGCGGCCCCGACCUCCCCGGAUCUACGGUUUCCGGCGGUCCGGCUCUACUUCUGUCUCCGGGGAACUGCGGCGGCGCUAUCGGGGAAGCAGCGGCUGGGCCCGCAGCCGUUCCCGGAGCUGUGCCACGGGUGCCAGGAGGUGGGCGCCCGCCGAAGGAGGAAUUGCCCAGUCACGCCCUCGUGACCAGUGGUGCCUGCAUUCAGCCCUUCCCCGCGCCCCAAGUGUGAAAGUGGAAGGAUGAACCCAGUGGGGUGCGACACUGACAGGAGAAGGCAUUGAGCGGUCCUAGGAAAGUGACCAGGCUGGUGUCCCAGGAUGGUCCACACCUGGCACCUCUCCAGUCCUCUCAUGCCCUCCCUUUACACCGAGCUUCCACACUGCAGUCAGGUGGGCCUCCCUUUUCCCUUUGAGGAUGCAGAUUUCCUCAUCCUUUCCAGAGAGGGGUUGUAUGUCUGUUUAUCUCUUGCCACUUAACCUCAGCGGCUUCAAAUAAUAAAAAUCAUUCUAUUAUUAUGUGCUGCAAUCUGGGGUUAUCUAGGCUCAGCUAGAUAGUUUGCACUUAGGAUCUCUCCUACAGUUGCUGCCAGAUGGUAGCUGGGGCUGCAGCCAUCCUAAAGCUUUCUCCCUCACAUCUUUGGUGGCUGAUGCUGGUGGCGGGCCAGGACCUCAUCUGUGCCUGUCAGGCAGCACACCUACAUGUGGCUUCUCCAUGCAACCAGGGCUUCCUUGCAGUAUGGCAACUGGGUUCCAAGGGUAGCCUUCCAGGACAACAAGGUGGACAACAUGUGCAUGGUAUUUUUAGGACCUAACCUCAGAAGUCACAUAGUGUCCCUCCUGCCACACUCUGUGGGUCAAGGCAGUCAGACAGAUCUGCCCAGGCUUAAGGGAUGAGGACAGGGACCCCACCCUUCAGUGGGAGGAGUGUCAAUAUUAGACUGUAGGAAGAGCAGGCGGGCUAGGGAAAUGUGGUCUGCUGCAGGGGCCCAAGUUCAGUUGUCACAGCAUCCCCUCCAAGGUGGUUAAGCUCUCCUGAAAGACUGAGGCAUGAGAGUGAGUGAGCAAGCCACAACCCUGCUGCUGCAGCUGGUCUGAGGCCAUGAUGGGUCACCACCCUCUGCCACUUGCCACCCCGGAUUCCCCACCCUCUGCUCUACAGCCACUCUGCUUAUUGUGGAGCCCUUUUCCCCUUUCAGUCUGAGCUCUUACUGUCCCUGUUCUUACUGAGUCAUCGUUUUUUUCGUUUGUUUCUUUGUUUUGUUUUGUUUUUUGAGAUGGAGUCUUACUCUGCACCCAGGCUAGAGUGCCGUGGCACAAUGUCAGCGCACUGCACCCUCCACCUCCAGGGUUCAAGUGAUUCUUCUAUCUCAGCCUCCCAAGUAGCUGGGAAGGUGGGAUUACAGGCACCUGCCACUAUGCCUGGCUAAGGUUUUUUUUUUUUUUUUGGAGAUGGAGUCUCACUGUCACCCAGGCUGGAGUGCAGUGGCACAAUCUCAGCUCACUGCAACCUCCACCUCCUGGGUUCAAACGAUUCUCCUACCUCAGCCUCCCAGGUAGCUGGGAUUACAGGCAUGCACCACCAUGCCCUGCUAACUUUUUUUUUGUAGUUUUAGUAGAGAUGGGGUUUCACCAUGUUGACCAGGCUGAUCUUGAACUCCUGACCUCAGGUGAUCCACCUGCCUCGGCCUCCCGCCACCACGCAUGGCCAUUACUGGGUUGUCCACUGACAGUCCUUGCCGCAUGCGGGAAGACUAGACGCCCAGGGAGCUCUGUGGACUGCCCACCCCAGUUGUGUAGCAUUGACCGUAGCAACUCAGGACAAUGAGGACGAUGUUGGUCUUCAGCCUAAGGUGUCCAAAGUGGGCCAGUGAUAGCCGCUACUUCAAGAUCAGUGGAACCUUUGCUGUGUUCCCUGGUGGAAGUAUUCAUCUUCAGGAACCAGGCCUCCAACCUGGCAGCAUUACAGGUUUAGGAUUAUGGGGCCACUCCUACCUCACACCUUUGGUUCUCUGACCCUCGUACUCCAGCUUUAGGGUACACACAUGGGUCGAUUCAAAUUUUGGAGGCCUAAAGCUUAUACAAAUUCAGGGGCCGUGAGAGGUAUCCCCAAGACCCCUCCAGAGUAACCGAUUUGCUAGAAGGACUCACUAUAGACUUGUCUUCACGCCUAAGAUUAUUACACAGAGAGGAUAUAAGUCUGAAUCAGCAAAGAGAAAAGGUGCAUGGGAUGAAUUCCACAGGAAAUCAGGCGUGAGCUGGCCACGUCCUCUCCUGGUGGACUCCACGGGAAGAAGCUGGAGCCGUGUGUGUGAAAUGCUGUCUGCCAGGGAAGCUUCUUAGACACUCAGCGCCCUGGGGUUUUAUGGAGGGCUGGUCACAUACACAGUCUGUGCCAAGCAUGUGCCCAAAUUCCAGACCCCUAGAAGCAACACAGGUGUUCAGCAUGAGCCAUAUUUGUACAAACAGUCUAGGCACAGUGAGACACGCUUACCAGAGAGUGGGGGAACCAUGAAAAACCCAAGUUCCCAGACACCCACUCUUCAAACUUGCCUGUGAAGAAGAGCUUCUCAGGCCUGCUGUUAACUCUUCUAUGCAGUCUUCUUUUGAAACAUAAGACAAAAUUGUAUAUCCAAAACUAAGUGAAUAGUGAGAAAAGAAGUCCCAACACAUAACAAACAUUUUAAAAGUUGUCAAAUACUACAAACAUCACAAAAUGCAGAAAACCUGCCUGACAUAUUUGACUCCAACAGGUUUCCCCUACAUUUCUUUGAUGCGUUCUCUGAUGCUCUCUUAAGAUGACAACACCUUUUUAUAACGUAACCUUCUAUAUGUAGAAAGAAUAUGGCAGACGCGGUGCUCGCGCUUGUAAUCCCAGCACUUUUGGGAGGCAGAGGCAGGCGGAUCACUUGAGCCUAGGAGUUCAAGAUCAGCUUGGACAACAUGGCAAAACCCCAUCUCUACAAAAAAUGCAAAAAAUCAGCUGGACAUGGGCCGGGCGCGGUGGCUCACGCCUGUAAUCCCAGCACUUUGGGAGGCCGAGGCGGGCAGAUCACGAGGUCAGGAGAUCGAGACCAUCCUGGCCAACACGGUGAAACCCUGACUCUACUAAAAAUAUCAAAAAUUAGCCGGGCGUGGUGGCGGGCACCUGUAGUCCCAGCUACUCGGGAGGCUGAGGCAGGAGAAUGGCGUGAACCCAGGAGGCGGAGGUUGCAGUGAGCCGAAAUCGCACCACUGCACUCCAGCCUGGGCGACAGAGCGAGACUCUGUCUCAAAAAAAAAAAAAAAUUAACUGGACAUGGUGGUGCAUACCUGUGGUCCCAGCUACUUGGGAGGUGGAGGUGGGAGGCUCACUUGAGCCCAGGAGGUCAAGGCUGCAGUAAGCUGUGGUCACACCACUGCACUCCAGCCUGGGCAACAGAAUGAGACCCUGUCAAAACAAAAAACAAAUAAACAAAAACCAAGAAAAUGAUUUAGUUUCUCCUCUCACAUGUUUGAUCAAAAUUUAAUUUUAUUACUAAUAAUUAAGUUGCUUUCAGGUAAAAGCUCCUUUGGGUAAUAUGUACAUUUUUAGAAUUGUCAUUAAAUUGGAGGAAACCGCUUAUCAAAUUUCUUCCACAUAUGAGCCAUAACAGUUCAGGGCUUGGCUGGGUGAGGUAGCUCGUGCCUGUAAUCCAACACUUUGGGAAGCUGAGGCAGGAGGAUCGCUUGAGGCCAGGUGUCCGAGACCAGCCUGGGCAACAUAGUGACACACUAUCUCUACAAAAAAAAAUUUAAAAAUUAACUGGGUAUGGUGGCACACGCCUGUAGUUCCAGCUACUUGAGAGACUGAGACGGGAGGGUGGCCUGAGCCGAGGGAGUUGGAGGAUGCUGUGAGCUAUGAUCGUGCCACGGUACUCCUGCCCAUACCACAGAGCCAGGCUGUCUCAAAAAAACAAACCAAAAAACCCAGAACCACCCCCCGCCCCAAAAAAAUGAAUUUGAGUUUGGGUUUUCUUGUUUGUGACUAAUCUUAGAUCCUCUUUGAGUUGGCACUUGGCCAAUUUCAUCAGCUUGUUGUGUCAUGACAUGCAGCCGAGGGAGGUGGGUGUUUCCGGAAGCCAUUUCUACACCAGAAUGACUAGCGAUAGCAUAACUGUAUCGGGAAGUGACUGUUCCCGCUAAGCCCAAGCAAAACGUAGCUUCAACUCAACCUCCCGGGAGCUGGACCCCACAACACCCCCUCCAGCUCUAUGCAGCAGGGGAGGGGGUAACUGAUGGGGGUAACUGAUGGCAGGUUGCAGGGGGAAGAGACAGUUUUAGCUGGUUGUGUUUAAAAUAUUUCACUUUUGCAAAUUUUACGAAAUAUAUGACUCUGUAAAUACUUUGUUGGGGCCCAAGCCGGGAAGGGGCUGUGGGACUGAGGAUCCUGGAACUGAUCCCCGAGAUUCCUGGUGAGCCUGUUUCUCGAGCGCCAACUCCUUACAGCAGCACAGGCCGUAUCCCAGCAGAAGUGCCCCUCCCUGGAAGGGGCUGACAUCCAGCAGGCAGUGGGGCAGGGCCUUCAGCAGACUGUGCCACUAUUCCGUUGGGCUGACAAGGGUUUGGGAGACAGUGAGUCCCAGGAACAUGAGCUCAUUGCCACACAGUAGGCUCUAAGGUGGGUUGUUAGGAUUUUUUUUUUUUUUGAGACAGAGUCUCGCUCUGUCACCCAGGCUAGAGUGCAAUGGCAUGAUCUUGGCUCACUGCAACCUCUGCCUCCCGUGUUCAAGCGAUUCUCAUGUCUCAGCCUCCUAAGUAGCUGGGAUUACAGGCGUGUGCCACCAUGUCUGGCUAAUUUUUGUAUUUUUAGUAGAGAUGGGGUUUUACCAUGUUGGCCAGUCUGGCCUCAAACUCCUGACCUAGUGAUCUGCCUGCUUUGGCCUCCCAAAGUGGUGGGAUUACAGGUGUGAGCCACCACACCCGGCCGGUCGUUAGUAUUUAUCAUGGUCCAGUGGAAGGUAAGACAUUCCGAAAGCUUGGGAUAGAGGUGCUGGUGGAGGAGCUGUUGGCAGGAAGAGCAAAGUUGCGUUCAGAGUAGGUGUCGGUUCUGGGAAGAACGAAUCGCUGCUCCUCCAGGUGGGAGGGGCCUGAGGUCUUUGUUAUUGUUUUUUGAGAAGGAAUCUCAUUCUGUCGCCCAGGCUGGAGUGCAGUGGUGCGAUCUUGACUCACUGCAAUCUUCGCCUCCUGGGUUCAGGCGAGUCUCCUGCCUCAGCUUCCCAAGUAGCUAGGAUUACAGGCGCCCGCCACCACGCCUGGCUAAUUUUUGUAUUUGUAUUUUUAGUAGAGAUGGGGUUUCACCAUGUAGGCCAAGCUGGUCUCCUGACCUCAGGUGAUCCGCCCACCUUGGCCUCCCAAAGUGCUGGGAUGACAGGCGUGAGCCACCACGCUGGCCACACUUGAGGUCUUUGGUCUCUGCUGCUAUGGGCUGGACAUUCAGCAGUCAGUAGGACCAUACAGAGCCACUGUCCCUGCCACCAUGGCCACUCUGUUCAUGGGCCUUUGCAUAAGCUAAGCUUUGACAUCUUUGCCUGCAAAGCCCAGAGUCUGGGCCCCUUCAAAGGCACUUACUGUUGCCUGCUCUUCAUCCUGUGUGACAGUCAUACCAUCCUGAAGUCAACAUAUCAAAGGGACACCUGCACCCCCUUGUUUAUUGCAGCACCGUUCACAGUAGGCAAGAUAUGGAUUCAUCCCACGUGUCCAUCGGUGGAUGAAUGGGUAAAGAAAAUGUGUGUAUACACAAUAGAAUACCUUUCAGCCACAAAAAGAAUGAAAUCCUGUCAUUUGCAUCACCCUGGAGGUUAUUAUGUUAAGUGAAAUAAGCCAGGCACAGAAAGACACACAUGGAAUGCUCUCACUCACAUGUGGGAGCUAAAAAAGUUGAUCUUGCGGAGGUAGACAAUAGAAUCAUGGUCCCCAGAGACUGGGAAUGGUGCGUGUGUAUGUUGCGGGGUGGUGGUAAAGAGAGUUUGGUUAAUGGGUAGGUAAACAUACAGGUAGAUAGGAGGUAUAAAUUGUAGGUCGGGCGCGGUGGCUCACACCUGUAAUCCAAGCACUUUGGGAGGCUGAGACGGGCAGAUCAUUUGAGGUCAGGCAUUCAAGACCAGCCUGGCCACCAUGGUGAAA